rnacentral:rRNA from 1 species
AGUAACACGUAAACAACCUGCCUUCAGGAUGGGGACAACAGACGGAAACGACUGCUAAUACCGAAUAAGUUCCAAGAGCCGCAUGGCCCACGGAAGAAAAGGUGGCCUCUACCUGUAAGCUAUCGCCUGAAGAGGGGUUUGCGUCUGAUUAGCUGGUUGGAGGGGUAACGGCCCACCAAGGCGACGAUCAGUAGCCGGUCUGAGAGGAUGAACGGCCACACUGGAACUGAGACACGGUCCAGACUCCUACGGGAGGCAGCAUG